ensembl:lncRNA
GAGAAAUCUAGUCUUAACUCCACCCCGGACAGCUGCCUUCAAAAGGAGCCAAAAUCUCAGCCUGCCUAAGUAUGAAUGGAUGUCAAAGGGAAAGGUGGAGGACAACAGCCCGUGGCAAGGACAGCUUCAUGAGCUGGAGAAGGAUCGUUGUCCUGGGCGCUGAUCAGCCUGGAUUGUAAAUGAACGCGAUUUUCUGACAGCAGCGCAAAACGCUCCGGAUACUGAUGCGCUCACGUGACUUUGUCCAGACUCCUCUCCAUGGCGCUCUAUCCAUCGUGAUGGACACAAGGGCACAGCUUCCUGCUUCUCUCAUUCUUGGGCCUGGGAUGAUGAUGCAAUAAUCAUCAUCUGAAACAUUUCAAGCUGGAUGUUAGAGCAAAAGAGCAUAUGGCACGGAUGUAUUCAUUCUGAAAGCUUCAUUCUAUUGAUGGGUACUAUUUCAUGUGGAGGACCACUUCCAAUGUAGGCAAAUGAAGAAAAGUUUUCUACAUCAAUUUUAAUGGCCCCAUUGAGGAAGCAAAGAAAUACAUUAUUUUUCUUUGUUAUUGAAAAUAGAAAUGCCUGAGGGAAGACGGUGGGGCUAUGGCUUCCUGCUGACAGAGCAGGCAGAGUGGUUGUGGG